UGAGGAAUAUUGGUCAAUGGACGAGAGUCUGAACCAGCCAAGUAGCGUGAAGGAUGACUGCCCUAUGGGUUGUAAACUUCUUUUAUACGGGAAUAAAGUGGAGUAUGCAUACUCCUUUGUAUGUACCGUAUGAAUAAGGAUCGGCUAACUCCGUGCCAGCAGCCGCGGUAAUACGGAGGAUCCGAGCGUUAUCCGGAUUUAUUGGGUUUAAAGGGAGCGUAGGCGGGUGCUUAAGUCAGUUGUGAAAGUUUGCGGCUCAACCGUAAAAUUGCAGUUGAUACUGGGCGCCUUGAGUGCAGCAUAGGUAGGCGGAAUUCGUGGUGUAGCGGUGAAAUGCUUAGAUAUCACGAAGAACUCCGAUUGCGAAGGCAGCUUACUGGACUGUAACUGACGCUGAUGCUCGAAAGUGUGGGUAUCAAACAGGA
rnacentral:rRNA from 1 species